GCAUACGCAGGCUACACAUGCAGUCGAGCGGCAGCACGGGUACUUGUACCUGGUGGCGAGCGGCGGACGGGUGAGAAUGCCUAGGAAUCUGCCUGGUAGUGGGGGAUAACGCUCGGAAACGGACGCUAAUACCGCAUACGUCCUACGGGAGAAAGCAGGGGACCUUCGGGCCUUGCGCUAUCAAAUGAGCCUAGGUCGGAUUAGCUAGUUGGUGAGGUAAUGGCUCACCAAGGCGACGAUCCGUAACUGGUCUGAGAGGAUGAUCAGUCACACUGGAACUGAGACACGGUCCAGACUCCUACGGGAGGCAGCAGUGGGGAAUAUUGGACAAUGGGCGAAAGCCUGAUCCAGCCAUGCCGCGUGUGUGAAGAAGGUCUUCGGAUUGUAAAGCACUUUAAGUUGGGAGGAAGGGCAGUUACCUAAUACGUGAUUGUUUUGACGUUACCGACAGAAUAAGCCCCGCUUACUCUGGGCCAGCAGCCGCGUAAUACAGAAGGGUGCAGCGUUACUGGAUUUACUGGGCGUAAAGCGCGCGUAGGGGUUUGUUAAGUUGGUGUGAAAUCCCCGGGCUCACCGGGAUAU
rnacentral:rRNA from 1 species